CAGUCGCCGCGGGAACACGUAGGGUGCAAGCGUUAAUCGGAAUUACUGGGCGUAAAGCGUGCGCAGGCGGUUCUAUAGGACAGAUGUGAAAUCCCCGGGCUCAACCUGGGAACUGCAUUUGUGACUGUAGAGCUGGAGUGCGGCAGAGGGGGAUGGAAUUCCGCGUGUAGCAGUGAAAUGCGUAGAUAUGCGGAGGAACACCGAUGGCGAAGGCAAUCCCCUGGGCCUGCACUGACGCUCAUGCACGAAAGCGUGGGGAGCAAACAGGAUUAGAUACCCCGGUAGUCCCUGUCUCUUAUAC
rnacentral:rRNA from 1 species